rnacentral:tRNA from 1 species
GGGUGUGGUACAAUGGCUAGUACAUCAGCCUUCCAAGCUGAGGACGAGGGUUCGAUUCCCUUCACCC